AAAGUCGUAACAAGGUUUCCGUAGGUGAACCUGCGGAAGGAUCAUUAAUAAUCAAGCAGCAAAGAAGACGUGGAAUAGGUCGAGGGGGCCGAGCGAGCCAAAGCCCACUCUGACGCGUGGGUAGAGAGACGCCGCCUGUGUAUGUGUAUACAGAUGGAUGGAGCUCUACCCAGUUGAACAAAACACUGAUAUGAUGAAUGCCUUUGAGAACAAAUGAAAACAACUUUUAACAAUGGAUCUCUUGGCUCUU
rnacentral:misc_RNA from 1 species